AUCCUGAUGACAGGCAGUCAUGUCUAUAGUGAGGAGGGGGGGUCCGUCUCUGUCUUUGGUUAUCUAGCUGUAUGAGUUUUAAAUACCUGUCAUAAAGCUAGAUAACCGAAAGUAGAAAUGGCUUCCAUUAGCUGCAUGUUCAGGAUUCUCACAUGAAAAAGGAUUCUUUAACAGAGCCAUCAGCAAACAAAAAAAGAGAAGGAAAUGGUCGGCCCAAGAUUUGCCUCCUUCUCCGACAACCUCGGCUGUCUUUUACCCAGAACCCCCCGAUGCCAUCUGUACAGCCGGCGGGGACGCUCUGCUGUGCCAGGAGACAGACAAAGAACCACCCCAAGAUCCCAGGAGCAUGCAAAGAGAAGCCAUCUUGGGAGAUGUUUCAUUGAGACAUCUAAAAUGGCUGGACUGGCACAUAAGAAUGGGACCAGAACUCUGAGGAUCUUUGCACUUUGUGGAUAAAACUCAACAUCAACAAAAAAAUGGACUUUGUGAAUAUCAUCUGAAUCUGAAUGUAUGAUUGAUUGUACUGCUAUGAAUUGCAUUGAAUUAAGUUGAAUUUGCAAUCAAGAUAAUUCGAUGAUAGUUGGACCAGUUUAUCUUGUAAACGGCCUUCAGGUGACAUUUGUUGUAAUUCAAAUCCAUGUAAAUACUGCAUGUUUUUUUUCUUUUUAGUCAUAUAAACUUUUAGAUAGUUUUACAGUAUUGAUCCAAUAAACUUGUACAAUUUUACAAGAAAGGCAGUUUGGAAAUGAUUAGAUAUUCUUACCCAAGUAAAAUGUGUAUUCCUCUUAUAUGCUAAGAAUAACAUUUUAUCAUGCAUAAAUUGUCUUUCCAUUCCACUCCAGUUUUUUUUUGUUUUUUAUAAAAUAUACAUUUUCUAUGUGAAUGAUCAAAUGUUCUGCUGGCAAAUAUUAAAAGAAUAAUCUGACCCAUA